rnacentral:rRNA from 1 species
GAUGAACGCUAGCGGCGGGCUUGAUACAUGCAAGUCGAGGGGUAGCAAUACACCGGCGCACGGGUGCGUAACGCGUAUGCAACCUACCUUUAUCUGGGGGAUAGCCCGGGGAAACCCGGAUUAAUACCGCAUAAGUAAGUAACUUGGCAUCAAGAAGCUUUGAAAGAUUUAUCGGAUAAAGAUGGGCAUGCGUAAGAUUAGAUAGUUGGCGAGGUAACGGCUCACCAAGUCUACGAUCUUUAGGGGCUCUGAGAGGAGAAUCCCCCACACUGGCACUGGGAUACGGGCCAGACUCCUACGGGAGGCAGCAGUAGGGAAUAUUGGGCAAUGGACGCAAGUCUGACCCAGCCACGCCGCGUGCAGGAAGAAGGCCCUCUGGGUUGUAAACUGCUUUUGUACGGGAAGAAACACCCCUUCGUGAAGGGACUUGACGGUACCGUAAGAAUAAGGAUCGGCUAACUCCGUGCCAGCAGCCGCAGUAAUAC